UACAUCAUAAUGGGCCAAACUUCCUGAUAUAUUUUGAAAAAAACCCAAAACUCCUAGAAGUUAGGCAGAGAAAAAGACCAACACCCCAGUGGAAAAAGGGGCGUUAAAGCAGUUCACAGAAGAAGGAACUACAAAUGACCCUUAAUUGUAUGAAAUUGUUAGCUCUAACCAUUGCAUUUCUGGGAAUUUAUCCCACAGAUAUAUUUGCACCUAUAUGAAAUGACAUAUGUAUAUUACUCAUUGUAGCAUUCUCCAUAGUAGCAAAAUAUUGGAAAUAACGUUACUGCCUAUCAAUAGAAGACUGAUAGCCUAAAUUAUGGCACAUCCAUAUAAUACAAUACCAGAUAGCUGUAAAGAAGAAUGAAAACACUUUUUUUUUUUUUUUUGCGAUGGAGUCCACUCUGUUGCCCAGGCUGGAGUGCAGUGUCACAGUCUUGGCUCACUCCAACCCCUGCCUCCCAGUUUCAAGCGAUUCUCUUGCCUCAGCCUCCCAAGUAGCUGGGAUUACAGGUACACACCACCAUGCCCGGCUAAUUUUUUUGUAUGAGAACACUUUUUUGUACUAUUUUGGAAAGAACCACUAGAUGUACUAUUAAAAGAAAAAUGCAUAUACACCUACUAUGUACCCACAACACUUAAAAUUUAAAAUUAAAAAAAAGAAAAAUGCAAAGUUCCAAACAGUAUGUAUAAUAUGCUAUCUGCUAAUUAAAAUGCUAAAAGAAGAAGAAACAGUGGACAGCAAGAAUACACACAUUCAUGUUUGCUUAUAUAUGGGUAAAGAAACUCAGGAAAGUUACAGGAGGAGCUAAUAACAGUGGUUAAUUACAAUGGUAGAGGAGAGGCUUGGCAGAUAAGGGACUCGUUUGCAGAUAUGACUUUCCUUUGUGUACAUUUCUAUAUAUUAUUUUACUUCUUCUGAAAAUGCCACAUAAUUUGCAAUAAAUGAUUCACUCCUUAGCUCCAAAAGCAAGUCCUUUAUCAAAAUGCAAAUGUUCCAGAGGGAUGUAGCCAGAUUCUGUGGACCGCCGUCUUUUUCACCCUUAAGAAUCCGUCGCUAUGAUUUCUCUUCCUCUGCUUGGAGACCUUUAGAGAGCCAGCCUGCAGCUGCUCAGAGCAUUGACUACUAAACAGCUCACAGUUGCUAUUGCUGAAAAUGCCCGGUGGUUAUGCCUUGCCUGACCAGGGGUAGCCCACAGCUGAUGACAGGCCCCCUUGCCUCAAGGUGGGACAACUUCGGUGGUGCCAUUCAUAUCCAGAGCUGCCUGGAAUCAGGCCGAGGCUGGACAUCAGCCGACCCCGCAUCUUUGCUGAGUUUAUUCCUCUGCUGUACUUCCCUCGCUUCCCUCACCUCCUUCUUGGUUUCUCCUGAGAGCCUCCCUCAAUAAAUCACUUACCCCAGAAUCCUUGUCUCAGACUCCGCUUCUAGGACCCAACUUAAGACAUUCACAAAAUAAAUCACAUUGAUGGAAAACAGAUCCCAUUCUCCAAAAUGAAUAACCAGUAGGCACUUGUGACUAGCACAAGCAUCAGCAUAUCCACAUGGUGCUAAACUAACACCAACCCAAAGCAGAUAGUGCUGGGUGGACUCGGUACAAGUUAAUAGCUCAUGGGUCUCCAUCCCCAACACCUUCAGACCCAAGGCUCCAGGGCUGCCAGCCUGAGAACCCUAAGUCAUGAUUUUGGGCACUUUGGCUGGAUUUCCUAGCAACUGGCUGAGAGCAGGACAGGUAAACAGAGUUGGGAGGAGGAAGCAAAAAAGGCUAGAGUGGACAUCAGUUGACUUUGCCUGCCAUGGUAGAGACUUUCAGUCAUCCACCAUAAUCCAUCCCCAUUCUGCUGCACAGAAGUAUUGUGGCUGAGACACCUGCUUUUCUCCACCCCUCUAGUUAAUGUGACUAAAUUCUCCCUAUGGAAUGGGAAUGGAAGGGCCAUACCCAGGCCAGUGUCUUCAGGUAGGGGCUGUGACCCUUCCACACCUGUACCAGACACAAUCAUCAUCUCACUGGGUUUUGCCAGCUUUCAGGUCUAUGUGCUGAAAGCUGCUUACAGCUAACCUCUGCAGAUUUUCCUGGCACAGGAGGCAUGCUUGGCCAGUGCACAGGGCAAGUUGGAAGGGCCCUAAUGUCAGCAGCCUUCAACCAAUGAUGGAUGGAAAGUUGCAGACAGUGUCCUAUGCAUCUGCAGUGGGAUAACUCUGAGACGUGUGCUGUACUGCCUCCUAGAGGGCCCAGGGUGAUUAAGCACCAGUUACCCACAGCAGUAACUUCCUUGAUUCUGUUCCCCACAUGGGCACUUUUCUUCCUGUCACACCUCCCCAAUCCCCUGCAGAUACUUUCUGGGAUUGCUUCCUAAACAAUCCACUUGAACUUUUUUUUUUUUUCUUUUUUUUGACAUGGAGUAUUGCUCUUGUUGCCCAGGUUGGAGUGCAAUGGCACGAUCUUGGCUCACUGCAACUUCCGCUUCCUGGGUUCAAGCAAUUCUCCUGCCUCAGCCUCCUGAGUAGCUGGGAUUACAGGCGCCUGCCAUCACGCCUGGCUAAUUUUUGUAUUUUCAGUAGAGACGGGGUUUCGCCAUGUUGGCCACGCUGGUCUCAAACUCCUGACCUCGUGAUCUGCCCGCCUCGGCCUCCCAAAGUGCUGGGAUUACCGGCGUGAGCCACCGUGCCCAGCCCCACUUGAACUUUAAUCCUUGCCUCGGAAUUGGCUUCUGGGGAAACCAAAAAUAUAUUAAAAAAAGAGAGACCAGGACCUUAAAAAGAGCCCAAGUUGUUGAGCUCCCUGCCAAGUCACCCCCAGGUAUCUCUGCCCACCAGCUUGCAUGAGCCAGAUCCUCAGUGCAGGUUUUUCCAAUCAGUCAUUUGUUCUUCCACCCAACGCUCAAGAUUUGCUUCUUCAAGACAACUCUCUGAUCAGCUGAGACCCAUAGACACCCAGCUUCUACCACACAUAUGAUGGCAUUAUCCUAGGGCAUGGCAGAGCAACGCAAGGGAAAACUCUGGGCCCCCAAGUGAUGUCAUGGAGGAGAACUCUCAACCCAGAACUACUACGUGAGAAACAACGCUCUCUCUUCUUUAAGCCAUAGGUGUGUUGGGAAUCUUUGUUACAGCAGCACGCCUGAUCUUUUGUUUUGUUUUGUUUUGUUUUAGAGAUGGAGUCUUGCUCUUUCGCCAGGCUGGAGUGCAGUGGUGCGAUCUUGGCUCACCAUGUUGGUCAGGCUGGUUUCAAAUCCCUGACCUCAAGUGAUCCUCCCACCUUGGCCUCCCAAAGUGCUGGGAUUACAGGUGUGAGCCACCGCACCCGGCCCAGCCAUGCCUUGUCUUAACUAGCAUAGCCGCCCAACGUCCACUUCUUUUGGCCAUGUUGUCCUGAUUCUGCUGGAGAAUCCCUUUCCCACUGCUCCCAGACCAGUGGUGUAGCUGACCUGCGCUCUCUCCACUCAAUUCAGGGGAGGGAGGGGUUUAGGCCUGGGCUAAGAGAGCUGCACAUUUCCCAGGGCACAGUGAUUAGUUGAGGGUGGGUCCCAGAGCCAAAUCUGCCCAAGAUCUUAGCCUGAAAGAGAAACCCUCCUGCUGAGUGACUGCACUGUGAGGCAGAAGUCCAGAGCUGUGGGUGGCCAUCCAGCCUCCAUUUGCGCCUGCCUGAGAAAGAAGCCACCAUGGGGGAAAUCGAGCUAAAAGACGGAGAGGGAGGUAAGAGAGGAUGACAUCACAUAAGCACCAGAUCUGGCCACCCCUGAAACUGGAACAACCCUAAGCUUUACAGCUACUACAUUCCCUUUUCUGCUGAAGUUGUUUUACACUGGGUUUCUGUCUCUUGCAACCAAGAGCUCUGUUAAAUAAAAACCUGACCCUAAGGAGAACGUUAGCUGGUUCACAAUUCCCUGUGCAAAACAGGCACAGGUCAGCUGCCCCAGCCUGUCGUUUGGAUAUUCCUUUCUAAGAACGCUCACUUUUGUUGUCUACAUGACCCAGAUAACCAAGGAGAAAGCAAAUCAACCGCCUUCCAGCGGCGCCUUCCUUGGCAGCAAGUGCUAAGAGAGAACACAAUGUGAGUACUCUGCCCUCUGGAGUCAGGGUUGAUCCUCAGCACUUGCUGUCCUGGGAGGCUGCACCUGUGACACUUGAGUGCCAGGUUCAACCCCUACUGCUGCUGCUGCUGCCUGAAUGGGGCCAUUUAGACUGUUGAGUGCUACAGCCUCAGCCCAGGAACCCGGAGCUUCACAUGAGGCAGAGCAGGGCCCCAGGGUCCCUGAAACUUGCCAGUUCAAACAGCAGAGGGGUGAGGACUCCCCAGUCAGCCCUGGUCUCAUACCUGCCUCUGCAUGGUCCCAGUCCAGCCUGAGGCCUUUGCUUUCUUUUUUGAAGGGAAGGUGAGGAGAGAGGGGGAAAAUAGAGGUGUUCUGACUAGACUUAGGAUUCCUGGCCUCUGCCUCUGACCGCCAGAGGACAGCCUCUGCAGUUGCCUCAUCUACUCAUGAAAACAGGCCUGUGACCCCAGGGGUGCUCUGAGGAUUCUUCCAGAAAACAUCUGCCCAGCUAGGACUACCUAGCUCACUGCCCAAAAAGGGUUCAUUUCCUUUCCUUCUGAAACAAAAGCGCUUAAUUGGAAGAGAAGCAUUGACUCAAGCUAUAGGAUAUGCCACUUAAAAUGUCCAGAUCUUGGCACAAGGCCUGGCGCACAGUGUGGGAGAGAAGGAGAGAAGAAGGUGGAAGGAAAGGAGGGAGGGGAAAGAGGAAGCAGGGAGGGAGAAAAUAAGACAAGGGCCUCCUCAUCUGGAUGCUUCCCUAGACCAAGAAGUGGCCCAGGUGGUGCCCAGGGGACAGGGAGUGGGCAAUAAAAGACAAUGGGGUGUAGGUGAUAGGGUGUAGAUGAUCAGGGUAUAGGUGAUCAGGAUGUAGGUGAUGGGGUGUAGAUGACUGGGGUAUAGAUGAUUGAAGUGUAGGUGAUGGGGUAUAGAUGAUCGAGGUGUAGGUGAUGGGGUAUAGAUGAUUGAGGUGUAGGUGAUGGGGGUCAAGGUGAUCAAGGUGUUGGUGAUGGGGUGUUGGUGAUCGGGGUGUAAGUGAUGAGGUAUAGGUGGUGGGGUGUAGAUGAUUGGGGUGUAGGUGAUGGGGUGUAGGUGACGGGUAUAGGUGAUGGGGUAUAGAUGAUCAGGGUGUAGGUGAUUGGGGUAUAGGUGAGCAGGGUGUAAGUGAAGGGGUAUAGGUGGUGGGGUAUAGAUGAUCAGGUGUAGGUGACUGGGGUUUGGGUGAUGGGGUGUAGGUGAUGGGGUAUAGAUGAUUGAGGUAUCGGUGAUGGGGGUCAAGGUGAUCAAGGUGUAGGUGAUGGGGUGUUGGUGAUUGGGGUGUAGGUGAUCAGGGUGUAAGUGAUGAGGUAUAGGUGAUGCAGUGUAGGUGAUCAGGGUAUAGGUGAUGAGGUGUAGGUGAUGGAGUGUAGAUGAUUGAGGUGUAGGUGAUGGGGUAUAGGUGAUUGGGGUGUAGGCAAUGGGGUGUAGGUGAUCGGGGUCAAGGUGAUAGAGGUGUAGGUGAUGGGGUGUUGGUGAUUGGGGUGUAGGUGAUCAGGGUGUAGGUGAUGGGGUAUAGGUGAUUGGGGUGUAGGCAAUGGGGUGUAGGUGAUUGGGGUCAAGGAGAUAGAGGUGUAGGUGAUGGGGUGUUGGUGAUUGGGGUGUAGGUGAUCAGGGUGUAGGUGAUUGGGGUGUAGGUGAUCGGGGUGUAGGUGACCAGGGUAUAGGUGAUCAGGGUGUAGGUGAUCAGGGUGUAGGUGAUCCGAACUUCCUACUCAAUUCAGGCAACAGCUCCCAGCCUGAGGCAAAUACCCCCCGAGGCAGUCAGGGUCUCACCUCCCAUGGCUCUGACGCAGGCCUCCAAGGUGAGGAGAUGGAGGUAGCAGAGGUCACUUCACUCAGCUGUCACACACCCUGAGGGAACUCCUGUCACUGUUAUCCCACCUGCAAGUGAGGAGCCAGCAUUUCUCAUGCUCCAGGGUUGGCCACAGAGCCCAUUCAAGGGAGGGAGAAGAGCCUUCGGCCAGCGCAUCCUAACCGCAGAAAGCCAAGACCUCUGCAGAAAAAGAGACCAGGCCCAUAAAAAGAGAUCCAUGAGUUGAGUUCCCUGCCAUGCCACCCCCAGGCAUCUCUGCCCACCAGCCUGCAUGAGCCAGCCCCUCAGUGCAGGUUUUUCCAAUUGGCCGUUUGUUCUUCCACCCAACACUCAAGAUUUGCUUCUCAGCCUGGACAACAUAGCAAAACCCCAUCUCUACAAAAAAUACAAAAAUUAGCUGGGCAUAGUGGCACACACCUAUAGUCCCAGCUACUCGGGAGGCUGAAGUGGGAAGAUUACCUGAGCCUGGGAGGUCAAGGUUGCAGUGAGCCAUGAUCAUGCCACUGUACUCCAGCCUGGGUGACAGAGUGAGAACUUGUCUCAAAAACAAAAAAAGAGAGGAAGAUCUGCUUCUUCAAACCCACACAACUAAUAUAAAGUAAUCAACCUCCCCACCUCAAUAACCUGAAGUUAAACAUCACACAAUAAGCCCUGAACAGAGAGCUGUAGGUCAAUGUUCCAUUUUGCUUUUAAAAGCUUCACAAGAACAUUUCAUUUAUUAAAAUAGUUUCUGUAAACUCUUUCAGAAUAACAAAAUUCACUUGCCUUGCUUAAACAGCAUUUCAAGUAGAAGUAUUUUUAUUUCAAGGCACCAUAAAAUGAUGAUCUCUCUAAGAAAUACCUCUCCUUC
rnacentral:lncRNA from 1 species